AGCAAAAGAUAAAGAACGGUUAUUACGUAAGGUGCAUGGACAGUUCCAAUCAAGUGGGAAUCAAUCGGUCAACGAUGAUAACAGUGAUAAUUGCUUUGUGCUAGCGUCAAAUUACAGCUGGUUGCCACAUGUGAAGUUUCUUUCUUUUUCUUAAAUCUAUUCAUAAAGAUCCCCAGAGAUUCACUUCAUUAGAUUUCAACAGGAGGGGAAUUCCACUCAUUUAUAACAGCUGGUACUCAUGGAUUUUUAUAGAUGUGACGUUUACAUACAGAUUAAAAUCUAAAGUCCUUCCAUUUAAACGUCAUGUCACGGAGUUAAUACCGAAGUGGGCUAUUCAAUUGGUCAGCACUACUCGAACAAUCAUAGGAACUUAUACAUGUAGGUGGAGACCAAUGUCCGAUCAGGCAUCAGGACUUACUUGAGAAGCAGUACUGAGACAUAUUGCAUAUCAACAUCAGCUUCAACUUUGUUUGAAUCCAAUGUAAUUUUUGCUUCCAAUUAUUCAGAAUAUAUAUAUAUAUAUAGAU